GAUGAAGAACGCAGCGAAAUGCGAUAAGUAGUGUGAAUUGCAGAAUUCAGUGAAUCAUCGAAUCUUUGAACGCACCUUGCGCCCUUUGGCCAUUCCGAAGGGCAUGCCUGUUUGAGUAUCAUGAACACCUCAACUCUCAUGGCUCGCCAUGAUGAGCUUGGAUUUGGGGGUCUUGCUGGCCUGUGGUCGGCUCCUCUCAAAUGGAUCAGCUUGCCAGUGUUUGGUGGCAUCACAGGUGUGAUAACUAUCUGCGCUUGUGGUUUUCCAUCAGAUAACCUUCAGUGAUGGAGGUUCGCUGGAGCUCAUAAACGUCUCCCCUAAGCGGGGACAGCCCUUUGAAUGUUUGAUCUCAAAUCAGGUAGGACUACCCGCUGAACUUAAGCAUAUCAAUAAGCGGAGGA
rnacentral:misc_RNA from 1 species